rnacentral:rRNA from 1 species
CGGAGAGCGCGCAUGAGAAACGGCUACCACAACUAAGGUUGGCAGCAGGCGCGCAAAUUGCCCAACAGCAACACAUCGCUGAGGCAGCGAAGAGAAAUAGCAACUUCAUGCGGCCCUGCCGCGUGAAGAUUGCCAUGGACGAUAUUUAAAACUGUCGGUGAGUAUCAAUUGGCGGACAAGUCUGGUGCCAGCACCCGCGGUAAUUCCAGCACCAAUAGCGUAUAUUAAUGCUGCUGCUGUUAAAAAGCUCGUAGUUGGAUCAAGAGUACAACAGUGCAAGGUGGCCUCGUUUGUGUCCGUGGCUCCGGUCGCUGGCACGGCGGCGGAUCAACCCCUUGCAUUAAACUGUUGUCUCUAACAGGCCGAAGCGGUUCCCUGUGAGUAGGCCACUUCAUUGGGGCUGAAAGCGAUUACGCAUAUACCACAUGCAUACGGGACGUCGGCCAAUGUUACUGUGAACAAACCAGCGUGUCCAAAGCAGGCUUUCGCCUGAAUGUUCGAGCAUGGAAUAACAAGGGAUCGAUUCUCUCGGUUCCUUUUGUUGGUUUUUAACCCGAGAAGGAGUAAUUCAGGCCACGGUAUCUGGGCUGGGUUCCCCUAGGCUUCGGCUUAGGCCCCAGUUAGGCCGUGUUCUUACGGGAUAAAUAGGGACUGACGGGGUCGUAGGUACUUCUACGUCAGAGGUGAAAUUCUUAGAUCGUAGGAAGACCAACUUCUGCGAAAGCAUUCGACAAGAAUGUCUUCAUUAAUCAAGAACGAGAGUGUGGGGAUCGAAGAUGAUCAGAUACCGUCGUAGUCCACUACUGUAAACAAUGCCGUCUCAGGAUUGAGAAGUGAACCUAAUGACUUUCACAGCACUAACCCCUGAAACGAGAAAUCAAAGAUUAUGGGUUCAGGGGGGAGUACAUUCGCAAGGCUGAAACUUAAAGGAAUUGACGGAAUGACACCACAAGGCGUGGAGUAUGCGGCUUAAUUUGACUCAACACGGGGAAUUUUACUAGGUCAGGACAAUGUAAGGAUGACAGAUGAG